rnacentral:rRNA from 1 species
GAUGAACGCUGGCGGCGUGCUUAACACAUGCAAGUCGAACGAUGAAGCCCAGCUUGCUGGGUGGAUUAGUGGCGAACGGGUGAGUAACACGUGAGUAACCUGCCCUUAACUCUGGGAUAAGCCUGGGAAACUGGGUCUAAUACCGGAUAGGAGCGUCCACCGCAUGGUGGGUGUUGGAAAGAUUUAUCGGUUUUGGAUGGACUCGCGGCCUAUCAGCUUGGUGGUGAGGUAAUGGCUCACCAAGGCGACGACGGGUAGCCGGCCUGAGAGGGUGACCGGCCACGCUGGGCCGGAGACACGGCACGGACUCGUACGGGAGGCAGCAGUGGGGAAUAUUGCACAGUGGGCGCAAGCCUGAUGCAGCGACGCCGCGUGAGGGAUGACGGCCUUCGGGUUGUAAACCACUUUCAGUAGGGAAGAAGCGAAAGUGACGGUACCUGCAGAAGAAGCACCGGCUAACUACGUG